ACUCAAAUGAAUUGACGGGGGCCCGCACAAGCGGCGGAGCAUGCGGAUUAAUUCGAUGCAACGCGAAGAACCUUACCUGGGUUUGACAUAUGCCGGAAAGCUACAGAGAUGUAGCCCCCGCAAGGUCGGUAUACAGGUGGUGCAUGGCUGUCGUCAGCUCGUGUCGUGAGAUGUUGGGUUAAGUCCCGCAACGAGCGCAACCCUCGUCCUAUGUUGCCAGCGGAUAAUGCCGGGGACUCAUAGGAGACUGCCGGGGUCAACUCGGAGGAAGGUGGGGAUGACGUCAAGUCAUCAUGCCCCUUAAGUCCAGGGCUUCACGCAUGCUACAAUGGCUGGUACAAAGGGCUGCAAAACCGCAAGGUCGAGCGAAUCCCAAAAAGCCAGUCUCAGUUCGGAUUGGGGUCUGCAACUCGACCCCAUGAAGUCGGAGUCGCUAGUAAUCGCAGAUCAGCAACGCUGCGGUGAAUACGUUCCCGGGCCUUGUACACACCGCCCGU
rnacentral:rRNA from 1 species